GCUGUCCUUACUGAGGCGUCGGCAUCAAAGAGGAAGCGCGCGGUAGGCACAUUGAAUUUGUAAAUUGUGAUUUGGCUGAUCGGUCCAGGAGACACUUGACUCAAGCUGUGAAUAAGAGGAAGAGUAAGCGUAAAACCUGCCGCCCCAGCAUCUUCUCUCUCCUCAGCCACGACUCGAAAUCCAACCCCCUACAGACGAGUUUCCAUGACAACACAAAGGCAGCAGACUGUUAGCAGGGGAUAAAGGGGUGACCAGAGUGAGGAGACAAGUGAAGCUUGAUCCACCAAAGAGAGGGAAGUCGGGUCGUUCUGAAGCGUUCUCCGUCUUGGGACAUCCACGGGCUGAUGGUCAGAGCGAUGG